UUCGUAAGGGGCUAGCGUUGUUCGGAAUUACUGGGCGUAAAGCGCACGUAGGCGGCCUUGUAAGAUGGGGGUGAAAUCCCCGGGCUCAACCCGGGAACUGCCUUCAUGACUGCAAAGCUAGAGGAUGCGAGAGGUUAGCGGAAUUCCGAGUGUAGAGGUGAAAUUCGUAGAUAUUCGGAAGAACACCAGUGGCGAAGGCGGCUAACUGGCGCAUUUCUGACGCUGAGGUGCGAAAGCGUGGGGAGCAAUCAGG
rnacentral:rRNA from 1 species